ACCGGCGACAGGGUGAAUACAAUAACGAAUUACGAUUUGCGAUUCGUAAAUGGUAACGAAAUCGGUCGAGAAUUUUAGAAUUUCUCAUUUAAUUUUAAGGCGUCACGGUAUAAGAUAAACAGGUAUGUUGUAUCAUCGCCAUGGUUUUUAUUUUUUUUUUUGAUCCAAUUAUAUUGUUUUUUCGUUUACUGCGGUUUUACUGGCGGCCAUUACGCGGAAACGAGACUUCAUUUUGAUUGGCCCUUUAGAAAAGUGGUUGGUUGUUUUGACGUGUUAUAAUGCAGGCACCUACCUACCUAUGCCAAAUUUCUGCAGUCCAUGUCCGUAGUCUGUCACGUCUGCACGAGUGAUCGUAUGUCGGGUUUGCGCGUACUAUUCUUCCCCCUCUCUCCCGCGGGGUGUGGCGGGUCGUUUUUUGGAGUAUUGUUUACUGUAAUUAAAUUUGAGAGCUGAAUAAUGCAUCAGGUUACCGGAAUUACAGUAAAUAAUUAAAAACUGGUUAUCCAUUGGUGAAACACCUUUGGCACAUCAAACAAAAAGUUCACCAAAUACUCAUAGUCCGUCAAGUUGAACAACGGCGGUCAGUGUUGUUGACGAAGAAUUAUCGCCGGUGUCAAAAUACAGGUUAGUUUAUUCUAUUGUCAUUGUCAUUGUUAAUUUUAGAUUAGCGGUUUUAUUUAUACUUAUUUAUACCUACUACCUACCUACCUACCUACACUAGACGCAGAGUGUAAAGCGUGUACACUAUAUUCACAUUCAUUAUAUACAGAUAGAGACGAUAGAGUAGCACUUUAAAUUAAUUUUGGUGUUAAAAUGCUUGAUUUUCGUCAACCCGUUGACGAGAUAUUUCGCUUUUAAGUUUAGGCUGGGGUAGAGUAGUGGAGUACCAUAAAGUGUGUGGUGGCACGCGGUGUUUAAUUAAUGCUACACUACUCUCUCCCUACUUAAACUUAAAAGCGAAAUAUCUUGUCAACUGGUUGACGGAAAUCAAACAUUUUAACACCAAAAUUAAUUUAAUGUAAUACUCCGUCAGUGUAUAGAAUUUUUAAUAUAGUUCUCAUUUGAAAAACCAUAGUUGGUGUCGCCACAGGAUACUCUUUAAAUGUUGUGAACAAUCUAAGCAUUCGAAAAUAUCAGCUUUAUUUAGACUUGAAAACUCCAAAAGUCAGAAUUGGAAUAUAUGAAAAAUUUAUCCAAAAAAAUGGAGUGAACACGCAUAGUGAAUCACCCUGUAUAUUUUAUAUUCAAGGGUCUCGUGAGAUAUUCAUUAGUCACUCGUGUAGUCUAAUUUUCAUAAAAAAAAAAGUAGUGUGAGUUAACAAAGUCGACUAAAAUUGUAAAUUAUUCUUAAUUCUUUAAAUUAACAUUAUCAUUAUCACUGAAACACCGUUUAUAUCACAGUUAUUCAAAUAUAUAACCGUGGUUUAUAUAUUGUAUGGUUUAUACCAUGUUAUACCAUUGUUAUACCUAUUAAUAUUAUCGUAUCAUGGGCGCCCGCAGGAAAUUUAUCAGAGGGGCAUAAUAAAAAUACUUAAAAUAAAAUUAUAUUUGAAAUUUUAAAGUCCAGAGGGGGCAAAUGUCCCGCACGCCCUUGUAUCAUAUUAUGUACGUUAUAUGUAUAUAAAAAUUCAAUUGUUGGGAUUGCAUUGUUGUAAUAAUAUACGUAUUGUGGUAAUUUAUUAGUAUCUAAUAAAGUGAUAUCAACAUUUAUAAUAUAUUUAUAAUAUAAUAUUAUUCAUAAUUUCUAGACAAUAUAGCACUUUUUUUCAAAGGAAAUCUGACUGGGGUGGUACAGGUCAUUUUUUGAUUUAUUCAGGAGAUCAAAUAAAUGGGAAAAACGGGAAAAUGUACGAAAUGUAGGUAUUAUGAAAAAUAUUACGGCUUUUUUUUUUUUCCAGUGGACAACUUUUCUACCAGCGAUUUCGCUCUGAUUUACAAUGAUUGCAGAGUAAGUGCAGCGUGCCGUAUUUACGGGCCGAACACGAAGGGUAUUAAUCCCUCUGCGUGGGCCAUGAAUAAGCAAACAUUUGAAGUUAUCACAAUUUAAAACGUACGGCCUACCGCCGUUAAAUUGUUCUAUAGCCAUAAUUAAUAACGUAUUUAUUAUAAAUUAUAUUGUAAUGUUAUGCUCACAUACAACAUCUAGACGACAGACAAAACCUCAAUUAUUGUAAAAAAUCAUUUUUAUACUACAAUGUGUAACACAAAGAUCGAAGACUUAAUACGAAAUACCUAACUUUUGCUCUGUUCAAAAU